rnacentral:misc_RNA from 1 species
UCAUAUUGUAUCGGGGGGCCCUGGUAGGAGGGAAAAUCUCUCUCCUCCAUCGCCUCUGUCUGAUUCUACCCAUGAUUUUUGCGUACCCACUGUUUCCUCGGCAGGCUUGCCUGCCAGCAGGACCUCUUUAAAAACCUUUUUGUAAUUGCAAUCAGCGUCAGAUCAAACUUAAUAGUUA